ACGUUGAGUAGAAGCUGUCAGGCCCUAAGUAUUGCUUAGGCCAGGUCAUUGCUCACUGU
rnacentral:ncRNA from 1 species